AAGAGAGGCGCUCAGGCUCUGAGGGGGAGGCUGAAGGUGAAGGUGAAGCCGGCGGUGCUGGUGCUCGCGGACCGGGCGCGCUCUCCUCCACAGCGGAGCCGCCGCGGCAGAAGAGCGGAGAGAAGCGGGGCGAUCAGCAGGAGCGCAGAAGCUGAAAAUGUGGAGACGUAUCUGUUCUUGAAGAUCCUCCCCCAAAAAGGAGGAGCUACAUGUGACAGCAGCUGCCAUUUUUUGAGGACAUGUUCCAUCCUGCCAGGUGUCUUUUUCACAUAACAGUAUAUUUUCUUCAUCACCACGACAACGCACUUCGCUCCAGAAAACAGGAAUAAGGCCCAGUCCAGAAAAUGGUGUUCCAACAUGGGAUAGUGCCACAGAAAGGCCCUGCACUGAUCAUCUGCAAUUCACCUCCGUUGCCUUGGAGUCAAUUAGGGAAACAUCUGUACUGCAUAACAUCAUUCUAUCUUCUGGAAGGAGUACAACAUUUCACUUGGAACAUGGCUUUACAAGCUACUAUUUUUUUAAUGUGUAAAUGAUCAAUAUGGACCUUGGUGCCUCCAUAUCCUCAUCCUGUGAUAUUUUAUACCAAAUUGUAUAAUUAUCACAUUGUUCAAGUUAUCAUCUUUUUUUCACACAUUUUCUAUGGCUAUUGCUGGAAGAGAAACAUAACAAUCCUUUUCAGUAAUCUGAAAUCAAAUUAAUAAAAAA